rnacentral:tRNA from 1 species
GACGGUUUGGCUGAGUGGUCUAAGGCGCCAGAUUUAGGCUCUGGUCGAAAGGGCGUUCAAAUCCCACAGCCGUCA